AGAUUUGAGCCCAAAAAAUGGCGAGGAGAGGAGGUUGUAGAGGCUGAGGGUGCCUGUGCCGAGGCUGGGCAGGAGGAGAAAAAGGCGAAAAUAGAGGAAAUAGAAGAAAAUAGAGAAAAUAGAAGAAAAUAGAGAAAAUAGAAGAGAGGAAAUAGAAGAAAAAGAGAGGAAAUAGAAGAAAAAGAGAGGAAGUAGAAGACGGCGGAGGCAGAGUUAAAAAACGGGAGGCGAGCCGGAGCGUGGUGAAGCUGACCGAAAAUCGGCGCAAAUUGGCGGAAUCGGCCCCAAAACGGAGCAGCGGAGACGCCGGGGCGCGGUACCGGUGUCGCCGCGCCGCAGAGUGCAGCCACGGCGCCCCAGCCGCAGUAAAGAGGAGCGGGCGCCCCGACCCCGCCGCCUUUUUGGGGGAAAAAAGGCCAAAAAUGGGUCUGCUGGGCGCUGGUUCCCGGCUUCUCCGCACAGCUCAGUGAAAACCGCAGGAAAAUGCCCCAAAAACGAGGACGCCCGACCCGAAAAAGGCAGAGCCCGGCAGCAAAACCUCCCAAAAACGUGUAGGAAAGGGAGAAAAAAAAAUAGGUAUUUCUGGUGGUUUGAACCCAAAAAAAAACGGGGGCGUGGAGCAUCCAGGUGGCGGUGGUGGUUUUUCGCCCAGGGAGGGUGUAAUUUUACCAAUUUAGCCCCAAUUUUGCUUGGUUUUUCCCCUCUGGAUUCACCAAGGAAAAAAAAAAGCAAAAAUAUAAAAAAAGGCCCAAAGUGCCUCAAAAUGAGCAGCUGGCGCCAGGCCCUUCCGGCAGCGGCGCUCGGCCGGAUCCCUUCAGUGGGAUUUUGAGUGGAAAACGUGGCUUUUUGGUAAACUCAGGGCUCGAGCCCUUCG
rnacentral:lncRNA from 1 species